rnacentral:rRNA from 1 species
UAACCUACGGGAGGCAGCAGUGGGGAAUAUUGCAUAAUGGGGGGAACCCUGAUGCAGCGACGCCGCGUGAAGGAAGAAGUAUUUCGGUAUGUAAAGCUCUAUCAGCAGGGAAGAAGAUGACGGUACCUGAAUAAGAAGCCCCGGCUAACUACGUGCCAGCAGCCGCGGUAAUACGUAGGGGGCAAGCGUUAUCCGGAUUUACUGGGUGUAAAGGGAGCGCAGACGGCAGUGCAAGUCUGGAGUGAAAGCCCGGGGCCCAACCCCGGAACUGCUCUGGAAACUGUGCGGCUAGAGUACUGGAGGGG